AUUGAACGCUGGCGGCAUGCCUUACACAUGCAAGUCGAACGGCAGCACGGGUGCUUGCACCUCGUGGCGAGUGGCGAACGGGUGAGUAAUAUAUCGGAACGUACCUUAUUGUGGGGGAUAACGCAGCGAAAGCUGUGCUAAUACCGCAUAAUCCCUAAGGGGGAAAGCGGGGGACCGUAAGGCCUCGCGCAAUUAGAGCGGCCGAUACCUGAUUAGCUAGUUGGUGAGGUAAAGGCUCACCAAGGCAACGAUCAGUAGCUGGUCUGAGAGGACGAUCAGCCACACUGGGACUGAGACACGGCCCAGACUCCUACGGGAGGCAGCAGUGGGGAAUUUUGGACAAUGGGCGCAAGCCUGAUCCAGCAAUGCCGCGUGCAGGAAGAAGGCCUUCGGGUUGUAAACUGCUUUUGUACGGAACGAAACGGCUCUCUCUAAUACAGAGGGCUAACGACGGUACCGUAAGAAUAAGCACCGGCUAACUACGUGCCAGCCGCCGCCGUAA
rnacentral:rRNA from 1 species